CGCUGGCGGCACGCCUAACACAUGCAAGUCGAACGAAGUAGCAAUACUUAGUGGCAGACGGGUGAGUAACAUGUGGGUAUCUGCCCUUUGGCCUGGAAUAACACGAGGAAACUUGUGCUAAUACCGGAUAAGUCUUUACAGAGAAAGCUUUAUGCACCAUUGGAUGAGCCCGCACUUGAUUAGUUUGUUGGUGGGGUAAUGGCCUACCAAGACUUUGAUCAAUAGCUGAUUUGAGAGGAUGAUCAGCCACAUUGGGACUGAGACACGGCCCAAACUCCUACGGGAGGCAGCAGUGGGGAAUCUUGCACAAUGGAGGAAACUCUGAUGCAGCGAUGCCGCGUGAGUGAAGAAGGCCCUUGGGUUGUAAAGCUCUUUCGUCGGGGAAGAAAAUGACUGUACCCGAAUAAGAAGGUCCGGCUAACUUCGUGCCAGCAGCCGCGGUAAUACGAAGGGACCUAGCGUAGUUCGGAAUUACUGGGCUUAAAGAGUUCGUAGGUGGUUGAAAAAGUUGGUGGUGAAAUCCCAGAGCUUAACUCUGGAACUGCCAUCAAAACUUUUCAGCUAGAGUUUGAUAGAGGAAAGCAGAAUUUCUAGUGUAGAGGUGAAAUUCGUAGAUAUUAGAAAGAAUACCAAUUGCGAAGGCAGCUUUCUGGAUCAUUACUGACACUGAGGAACGAAAGCAUGGGUAGCGAAGAGGAUUAGAUACCCUCGUAGUCCAUGCCGUAAACGAUGUGUGUUAGACGUUGGAAAUUUAUUUUCAGUGUCGCAGCGAAAGCGAUAAACACACCGCCUGGGGAGUACGACC
rnacentral:rRNA from 1 species